CCUACACAUGCAAGUCGUACGGGAGUUUUUAACUCAAGUGGCGGACGGGUGAGCCCCCUUUAGAGGUAUUUACCUUUAGGAGGGGGAUAACAAUUGGAAACGAUUGCUAAUACCCCAUAUGCUUUAGAGUGAAAAAGAUUUAUCUGCCUAAAGAAAAGCUCGCGGCUGAUUAGCUAGUUGGUAAGGUAAUGGCUUACCAAGGCGACGAUCAGUAUCUGGUUUGAGAGGACGAUCAGACACACUGGAACUGAGACACGGUCCAGACUCCUACGGGAGGCAGCAGUGGGGAAUUUUCCGCAAUGGGCGAAAGCCUGACGGAGCAAUACCGCGUGAGGGAAGACUGCCUAUGGGUUGUAAACCUCUUUUUUCAGGGAGGAAUAAAUGACGUGUACCUGAAGAAUAAGCAUCGGCUAACUCCGUGCCAGCAGCCGCGGUAAGACGGAGGAUGCAAGUGUUAUCCGGAAUCACUGGGCGUAAAGCGUCUGUAGGUUGUUGUUUA
rnacentral:rRNA from 1 species